CGGCAGAACCUGCCUUGUUCUCCUCUUAGUGGUAAAGUGAGAUCUUCAGUUAACGCUGUUCAGUGAUUGGUUCCUAUAUAUCAAAGGCGAUACUAUAUCCUCUGCGUUUACUUUUUUACUUUCUCUGUUUUGUUUUGUUUUCUGGUAGAUCCUUUAAGAGAGUGUCUUUUUCUGUUUUUCUUUUUAAUCUGGUCAAGUGUCAUGUGUAUAUAAAACCGUGAAUGUAUAUAUGAA